rnacentral:rRNA from 1 species
UACAGAGGGGGCAAGCGUUGUUCGGAAUUACUGGGCGUAAAGCGCGUGUAGGUGGUGGGACAAGUCUGCUGUGAAAGCGCCUGGCUUAACCGGGCGAGGUCGGCGGAAACUGUCCGACUAGAGGACGGUAGAGGGGGGUGGAAUUCCCGGUGUAGUGGUGAAAUGCGUAGAGAUCGGGAGGAACACCCGUAGCGAAGGCGGCCGACUGGACCACACCUGACGCUGAGGCGCGAAGGCCAGGGGAGCGAACGGG